UUUCCGUAGGUGAACCUGCGGAAGGAUCAUUACCGUAUUUGAAAAAUACAAUAUGGAUGGAUUUAGUACUGCUGUUGUAAUAUGUGGCAGGAAAAAUUCAUAACAGUUGGAGCUCACUAUUAACCACAACUCUGUGAAUAUGAAAAUUUAACACGGAGUGGGUGAGACAGCGAUUGGCCAAUGUUGUCAAAUGCUGCGUGGAAAAACCGUGGAGCCAGGGUUUUUACCUGAGCAUGAAAUGUGUGAGGAAGGUUAGGAUUUAGGUAGACUUAUAUAUGAAAGUCUUCAAAGGACAAGGUGUUCGCCUAAAUUCACAUCUUCACUUCAUGUGCUCAAGUGUACCCAAACUCUUUUCGAAGAGUUUAAAACAGCUUGUGAAAACUGUGCAACUUGAAACAUAAUACUAACAAUUGAGAGAUAAAAAUCAACCUCGAGUGGUGGAUCACUCGGCUCGU
rnacentral:misc_RNA from 1 species